GUGGUUUCCGAAGUAGGAUGGCCAACGGAAGGACACUCUGCAGCUACUAUUGACAAUGCCAGGACUCAUAACAACGGAUUGAUUAAUCAUGUACAGAGCAUUGGGACUCCAAAAAGACCUCAGAAGCGUAUCGAUUGAUUAAUCAUGUACAGAGCAUUGGGACUCCAAAAAGACCUCAGAAGCGUAUCGAGACUUAUAUCUUCAAUUUGUUUGACGAGAACAAGAGGGAUCCGGAGGUCGAGAGGCACUGGGGAAUCUUCUGGAACAACAAACAGGCCAAGUACAACAUCAAUUUCCAAAAUCAGUAAUAAGUUCAAGUAUAAAAUAGCAGUUUAUCAUUAAUAAAAGGGUUCGGGAAUGUAUGAGUACCCACGAAGAACCAAUUUUACAAACUGCUGUUUGUUUGUACCAAAGCUUUACACCAAUAUAUCAUUCGGACACUUUCAAA
rnacentral:lncRNA from 1 species